GACCGAGGCGCCUGAGCUGAAGCCCAUCAAGGUCGUAUCACCUUGGUACAUGGUUGGUGUGGACCUCUUUGGACCUGUGAAAAAGUCGUCUUAAGGGGAACAGAUAUUGUCUCACUUUGACCGAUUAUUUCACCAAGUGGGUUGAAGCAAGAACAUUCCCAAAAAAGACAGCAGCCAAUGUGAAGGAGGCCUUGAGGGACAUUUUCUUUACUCAUGGUUUGCCUGAAGUUAUCCUCACUGACCAGGGCACUGAAUUCAAGAAAGAGGCUGAGGAGGUAGCUUUCAAGGAGUUGGGCAUUGAACAUGGGGUUUGGUCAGCAUACCACCCCCAGACCAAUGGGCUUGUUGAGAGGACGAACCAAACCCUUAAAGUGUCUAUUGGGAAGACCAUCAAGGGCCAACAGGAGAAGUGGGAGGACAAGCUCAGGGAGAUAGUGUAUGCCCAUAACACCUGUGUACAGGCAUCGACCAGGUUACAACUGAGUGUCCUGAGGUGAUGGCAGCUCCUGAGCAGGCGGAUUCUCUGGAGGCCUUUGUGCAGCUCCGAGUUGGCCAGGAUGAGGACGUUUUUGGAAAGGUGAUCAACAAUGUGGAGAGGCAGAAAUUGUCAUACCGGCAGAGGAUGAAGAAGGGGGUGAAGCGCUUCAUCAUCCAACCUGGAAUGGAGGUCCUCAAGAAGGAUGCCAGGAAGAAAGGGAGACCUGGGCAAACCAUGGACCCAAACUGGAGCCAGACCAUCUACAGAGUUAUGGAGGUUCUUCCAAACAAUAUGGUUAGGCUGGAGACCCUGGAUGGAAAGCCCAAGCAUAUGAUGACCUGAAACCUCUGCGCCCGAGUAUAUCAAACUGAAUGCUGUUUACAGGCAAUUUUUGUUCAGAGAUCUUGAUAUCCCUCCCCUGUAUCAUAAUAUGCCUUCUCUCUCAUUUAGGGACUCACCCUGGCUGGCCAAAGGAUUCCCCUUCAGCCCCUGUGCUUCCAGGAGAUGCUGAAAUGCUGACUUCAUCAUCGGAGGAGGAAACUGAGACCAUACAUAUGCUGGCCCCACAUCACCCUGGAAAAAGGAGCUGCACCCCGACCAGAAACAACUGCUCGAGUAUGUUUUGGGCCUGCGAUCGUCCAGCUAUGGAACUGAUCGUUAAAGAGGGAGGGGUGUGUUUAACCCAAAAAGAGUUUUGGUCUCUAGGGUUGUCCAGAGACAUGGACUCCACGAUGGGAAAUGCUUGCCUCCAGCUGGUUCAGGAAGCUGCUCAGAGACAUUGUUCCAGGGCAAAGAUGUCUUCAUUGCCAACAUGUAUAUUGUACCAACGUGGAAGCACAAAGACGUCGAUCCAAUGUCAAGCCUUCCAAGGGAUGCACAUCUAAAGGAGGCACUCCUCUUCCCAGCGUGGAGCAAGCACAACAUUACCUUCUCUGUGUAAGUGUUGAAAAGAAAAAUACUGGAGAUAUCUUAUAAUUCUUGUGCAAUGACAUUAUUUAUGCCUCUUUCUGUAUUGACCAUUGUAGGUGUUGAGGCCGGCAAAGAGAGAAAUUCUCUUGCUGGACUCUGUUUGCCCUUUGGCCAUCUGGUUUUGGUGAUGAGGUGUACAGAGCCAUCUUUAGGUCCCUUUAUAAUAAUCCUGGCCACAGUUCCAUUUUGGCCACUUUUUGUUCCAGCCAUGUUCUGGUUUUGGCUAUGGUUCUGUUCUAGUCAUCUUUCCCUUCCCCGCUAUGCUCAUGUUUUAGACAUGUUCUUCUUUCGGCUAUGUUCUCAUUCUAGCCAUGUUCCAGUGGUGUGCUACAGGGGUCCCCAACCACAGAGUCAUGGACCAGUACUGGUGAAACGUGAUUUUGUUCAUGCUUUGGCAGUGUUCUACUAGAAUUUUCACUUGUUUAUUUUCAAUUUGUCUUCAUGUUUUAAUAUGCCAAGUGGCUUAUUGCAUUUUAUUUGAUUCACAUUUGGCUUUUUUACUGCAGGAGCAUUGCGCAGCACAACGUCCCAGGAAGCUGGAGUGAGCUCACUGGAAAAGACAUGCAGGAGAUCCCACGCCAGACCUCGGGGAAUGACUGUGGUGUUUUCAUGCUCAUGUACUCCCUCUGGCUCUGUACGGACACUACUUUUCACUACAGUGUGCUGGACAUGCAGUUGGUGGUGUGUCCUUCUAAUGGAGCGCUUUGGCAUUGAAGGGUGCAGCUCGCGCAAUGUUUGGAACAAAACAUUUGUAAACAAUAAAAAAUCAUUUUACAUUGCAGUUUUUUGCCUCAUUUUAAAGUCU